UUCUUACUGUUUUAUUGUAAGUAACACCUGCUCAAUGAUAUUUAAAUAGCCGCGGAAAUUUAACUGUGCUAAGGUAGCAUAAUCAUUAGCCUCUUAAUUAGAGGCUUGUAUGAAUGGUGAAACAUUUCGAUUUCUUUAUUAAUUAAUUUGUUUUAACCUUAAUUAAGAAUAAAAAUGUUCUUAUUAAAAAAAUAGACGAUAAGACCCUUUUGAACUUUACUUCAGUUUGGCUGGGGCAGCUAAAAAAUUAUAAUCUUCUUUUUUCUAUUUAAAUAGAUGACCCAAUAUAUAUUGAUUACACGAACAAGUUACCAUAGGGAUAACAGCGUAAUAUCUUUUUAAAGCUCUUAUUUAAAAAGAAGUUUGCGACCUCGAUGUUGAAUUAGUGUAACUUUAAAAUGCAGAAAUUUUAAAAGUAGGUCUGUUCGACCUAUAAAACACUACAU
rnacentral:rRNA from 1 species